AGUGCCUCCAUGUCUCCCAGUGCCUCAAGUGUCUCAAUGUCCCCAUGUCUCGAAGCUAGUGUCCCUAGUGUCUGUGGCCCUGGUGUCUCCAUGUCCCCAUGUCUCCCAGUGCCCCCAUGUUUCAAUGUCCCCAUGUCCCCCAGCCAGUGUCCCUAGUGUCUGUGUCCCUGGUGUCUAUGUCCCCAUGUCUUCAAAUGUCCCCUAUUUUCCCAGUGUCCC